rnacentral:tRNA from 1 species
AGGGUUAUAAUUUAUUAAAAAUAAUUGAUUUGCAUUCAAGACAUACUGAAUUAUUCAGUUUACCUUA